rnacentral:rRNA from 1 species
CCUACGGGUGGCAGCAGUGAGGAAUAUUGGUCAAUGGGCGGGAGCCUGAACCAGCCAAGCCGCGUGAGGGAAGAAGGUACAGCGUAUCGUAAACCUCUUUUGUCAGGGAACAAAGGCGGGGACUAGUCCCCGGAUGAGGGUACCUGAAGAAAAAGCAUCGGCUAACUCCGUGCCAGCAGCCGCGGUAAUACGGAGGAUGCGGGCGUUAUCCGGAUUUAUUGGGUUUAAAGGGUGCGCAGGGGGCCUGUUAAGUCAGCGGGAAAAGCCCGGGGCUCAACCCCGGCGAGCCGUUGAAACUGGCGGGCUGGAGUUGGAGAGAAGUACGCGGAAUGCGCGGUGGAGCGGUGAAAUGCUGAGAUAUCGCGCAGAACCCCGAUGGCGAAGGAAGCGUACCGGCUCCACACUGACGCUGAGGCACGAAAGCGUGGGUAUCGAACAGGAUUAGAUACCCCAGUAGUC